rnacentral:lncRNA from 1 species
UUUAUUAUCUUCUUUUAUUAUCUUCUAUUUAAUAUAUCCCUUUUUAUUUAAAUCAUCAACUGAACAUACUGAACGUACCCCAUAUAUUCUUACUCUGUAAGUAUCUGUUUUUCAAUACGGAACAUGCCCGCCACUGUCUACGUCGCACUGUCAUGAAAGUGACACUUCAUCCCUACUCGCUGACACAAAAUCAAAAUGGAAGGGAAAAAUAAAUCUAUUUAAAGAGAUGGGCCCAUAAGGCACUAUCUAUUUCAAGACUUUCAUUCUCUUGGGUUUUUGGGAUAAGAAUAAACUUUUCUACCUCCGGGAGCCUCCAGCUUCAAGCCAACCUCACCGGUGAUGGAACUACGGGGAAAUAACGUGAGACCAUGACAUCCAUACUACAGCAUCCAACAUCUGCAGGUGCACUGACCUAGGGCCACAACAUCUGCCCAGGUCUACAAGAAGUCCACAGCAGUACCAUUCAACAUCAAGAAGUUACCAUCAGCUGCCAAAAGCCAUAAGUAUAAUCCAGAAUUGUUAGUUUCUGAUAAUGCGCCAGUUGCUGAACCAAUUAAGAAUACCGAUACAAAGAAAACGGAGUCAUCUACGUCUCCAUACAAAAAGUCUGAUCAUUCACAAAGUUUUGAGCUCGCUAAAGACAUUAAAACCGAAAGUACAUUAGUCGAAAUCGCUGAUACUUCAUCGCGAAAAUGUCCAAUAAGCUGCACCAAUAACAAACCGAAUGGAAAACGACAAAAACUAGAAAAUAGUGAAGACACUAAGAGGUCAGAGCGAUUAUUUGGUGAUCUAGUUGUUGCUAUGUUACAGGAAAAACCUGAGAGCGAAAGAAACAGGUAUAUGAUUCAAAUUAUGACCAUUCUAUCGAAAUAAAGUCACGUUGUAACAAAAAAAAUGUGUGUGUACUUUGUACGCACGUAAGAAGUUAUACUUCUAUUAUUAUGAUUUCAAAGAAAUUAAUAUACUUAACAGGUUAUUUGUAUUUUAUUUAAAUAUUAAACUAACUUUCUUUACCUACCACUUUUAAAA